AUCCAUGAGUAAAGUGGCGCACGGGUGAGUAACACGUGACUAACCUACCCUUGAGUGGGGGAUAACCUAGGGAAACCUGGGCUAAUACCGCAUAAUACCUACGGGUCAAAGGAGCAAUUCGCUUAAGGAGGGGGUCGCGGCCGAUUAGUUAGUUGGCGGGGUAAUGGCCCACCAAGACGGUGAUCGGUAUCCGGCCUGAGAGGGCGCACGGACACACUGGAACUGAAACACGGUCCAGACUCCUACGGGAGGCAGCAGUGGGGAAUUUUGCGCAAUGGGGGAAACCCUGACGCAGCAACGCCGCGUGGAGGAUGAAGUCUCUUGGGACGUAAACUCCUUUCGAUCGGGACGAUAAUGACGGUACCGAGAGAAGAAGCCCCGGCUAACUUCGUGCCAGCAGCCGCGGUAAUACGAGGGGGGCGAGCGUUGUUCGGAAUUAUUGGGCGUAAAGGGUGCGUAGGCGGUUCGGUAAGUCUUGUGUGAAAUCUUCGGGCUCAACUCGAAGUCUGCACUAGAAACUGCCGGGCUUGAGUGUGGGAGAGGUGAGUGGAAUUUCCGGUGUAGCGGUGAAAUGCGUAGAUAUCGGAAGGAACACCUGUGGCGAAAGCGGCUCACUGGACCACAACUGACGCUGAGCA
rnacentral:rRNA from 1 species